rnacentral:sRNA from 1 species
AGAAAUGUUGCUCUUUGUUAUCUGAUUGAAUCUAGUGUUUGAACUAAUUAAAUACUUUGAUUUUAUUUGACAUCCGUUGAAUAUUAAUGAAGUUGUUACAGUAAAAUUGUUGGAUAAUGCAAUCGUAUAACAGAAAAAAGACAGGUUCAAUAAAAAAUAUUUUCUCUUCAAAUGUUACUAGUAUUAAAAACUGCGUAAGGGCAUGCAGUGUAUUUUGUUACAUCAAAUUGAUAUAUCAAAUUUGUAGAAAUUUAUGAGAUGUUAUUUUUGAUAAUCAAGUUAAAGAAAACCAAAUUGUACUGUAUUGGAUACCAACUUUCAUUAUGUAACUAUGUGUAUUAAUAAAUGUUAUGCUUGUAUUACAUGAUGCAUUUAACAUUUAUUUUCAUGUUAUUUGUUACGUGAAAGUGUUAUAUUAAAUCGUAAUAAAAAUAUUCAAACUU